CAGUGAGUGAAACAGAACAGAUUUUCCAUUUCCUCUCUGGGAACGGUGCCCUUUAAAAAGAAUAGGAAGACAUUCUCAAGGUAGCAAGUGGAGGACUGAGAGUCAUUUACAUUGCCUGUCCUAGGAGAAAUGGCUUAUUUUGGACCCCAAGCUUGUGAAACAGGGCAUUUUGGAUAGAUCCAUGUGUGAGACAGAUUCUAAUUCUAGUUAGGCUCACUGUGGGCAAUUGCAUAGGGAUCCUUGUACUACCAGACUGGGGCUGAGAGCCUCAAGGUUUGUAAAUAAGCCCUGUGGUUCUGGCCAUUUUACUUGUCCUUUAGAGAGAACCACUAAUGCCCUUCCAACCUCAUAAUGAUUGCGGCGAGGAAUAUCAACAAGGAAAUCUCCGUUCAACAGAAGAGAGCUUUGAGGAAAGAGAAGCUAAGAAAGGGAGUAAAUAUGCAUUUACUUAUCAGUUGGCUUUGAACUUGGAAUAGAAAAGGAACAUGAUUACUCUAAAACCUCAGUCUCAAACUCAAAAAGCCGUUAAAAAAGAAAACAAUAAAUAAAACUUCUAUCAAGUCUCAAGACUUCUCUCAUCAUUGAAAGUCACGGUAAAAUCUUUUACUUUCCAUCUCCCAACCUUUAUACUGAUAUUCCUUGUUUGGCACUUACUUAUUGCCAUGUGUAUUUACAGAUUUAGAUGUAUGAGGUAGUCUCCUUUAGAGUGUGAACUUUUUGAAGGAAGACAAUCUUUUAGUCAUCUUUGAAAACCUAAAGUACUUUCCAGGGUAAAUGCUCAGCACGUGUUGAGUGGUAUCAGCUGGGCUGAACAGCUCUCUAAUGAUUACUACAAACCAGUUCCUGAUAUAGUGACUUAUCUUAAAUAAUAAUGUUAAUGAAUUUGUUUUGUACUUUACAGUUUUCACACUGUACAUCGAAUGACAUGACUUACCUUAUUUAAUCUUUAAAGAAUCCCAGGAGACAAGCAGAACAAAUAUUUCUAUCUUAGAUGUGACAAAAAGAUCUCAGAGAGAGGAAUUGCUUUCUUAGGAUCAUGGUGCUUAUAAAUAACAAAAUCCAGAACUUCUAAUUCCUGGGAGGUAACUCUUUUAUUUUUCCACAACUGCUUCUUGCAUGAAGGUGAGACCCACAAGUGACCUUCCAGAAAUGUAAAUAAUCCAACAGCAUUAGAAAAUAUGUGACAUUUCCAAGGCACUAGUUGAAAUUUGAUGUGAAAUUCCAUCUGACAUGUUUGUAAAGCUUUAAUUAUUUAAUCAAUUUAAUACCACAAUAUUUAAAGCAGCAACAAAAAUCACUGGGCAUAACCAAUUUCAUCCAUAAAUCAGACAUUUUGCACCUCAAUUUUUUACUCUCAUUUCUGUUUUGUGAACUAAUUGGCA
rnacentral:lncRNA from 1 species